GGGUCCGGGCUGCUCGCUCCGUGGCGCCGUGCUCCCCUCCGCGGCCUCCUCUGCGUCUGCGCUCCCUGCUGCCCAGGCGGGGCCCCGGCGGCCGUGCUCCCCGCGGCUUCAGUGCCCCCCUCCGCCGCACCUCCUCCUCCUGCGUCACCUAGCCAUCCACGCGUUUGCUCCGCAACGCGUGUUAACGGUCGGAGGCGCUGGAAGUGGAGCCAAGAAGUAAAGCGAUAUGAUCCCUGUCCAUCGACCAGAUGACAGCGAAGCACUUAAUAAGUAGAAUAAUCAUGAUGUGCCUUUGGAGGAAAACAAAAAGACCGGGAAAGGCCCAGCGGAGACGGUGAUUAACGAAAGAGAAAUGCGGGUAUCAGGGAGAAGAGUCCCCGGCAGCGGGGAAAUCCGCAAGGUCUGGAGGCGAGAGCGAGCGUAGACGACCCGCUUGCGAGGACCGUGGAUGCGAUCUGUUGGCAAUUGGAGGUCGUGGUGGGGUGGCGUGAUCUGGCGUGGUCUCUGGUCUCUCCUUAGAUCGUUAAAAAAAUGUAUAUCAGUAUUUACUAAGCAAGGCUCUCUUCUUAGCACCUGCUAUGGCCAUGCGCCUACCGCUGGGCCUGCGACUCGGAAUUUGAUGCCUUUUAAAAGGAGCUCAUCAGCUGGCACAAAGGUGAGCGCGCCUGUGUUGGCUUUAAAUGAGCAUCUCCUAUGCGUGCGUUUCAGCCUCUAUAUUUUUGAGACGUAAUCGUCAUCUCCAUGCCUGGGUGAGCAUCGCAGAGAAGUGGAGGGCUGUCAACGGAGUAAAACUGCCUGACAUUGGCCAAUACUAGCGGAAACCAAGGGAAGCAGAAGGCAAAAUCACCAAGGUUAAAUUAAAAGCAACAUCAUAAUCCCUGGGCAUUCCAUCCUCCUUCCUGGGAGAAUUCCAAACCAACGCACUCUUACAAGUGGCAGGCAAUGCUUGCAGAAAGAUCAGCCUCUGAAUGAUUGAUACUUGUGCAGCAUUUCAAUCCACAGCAGCCACUAAAAGCCAACCACGACACACGAGCCGCAAACAGGAUGGUGCGCUCAGAGCGUUUUGGAAAGGAGACUCAAACUCAAAUGGUUGUCGCCGGUGAUUUCCGAAAAGCCGGUGUCUGAGAGAAGCGUCUGUCUGAUUGUACGUGGCAGAGUGGAAGGCCCACUGGGACAGGCCGCCUGGGAAAUGGCAGCCCCAGGCUGCCGGGAAGACGUCAGGCAGAGGCGCGCACUCCCCAGCUCUCCGCGAGGGAAGGACUAAGUGAGAAGUGGGAAAGCAGUCUGGAGGCUCACCCCUGCCAGGCCCUGCAGACACUGGCCAGACGGGAGCUCCCUGUAGCUGCUACUAGCCCUCCUCCCCAUCUCCCACCACCGAGCGCCCCACCGCCUGGCGCAGAAAGUUCCCCCAGCCGGGUUUUACCUUCUUCGGGGCACACUGUUUUAUGCAGAUGGUCAAGGGUUGAAUUACGACCUCCUGUCCUGUCUGUGGAAACAAAAUGGCCCGGGGCUCGGAGGCAUUGUUCAGAGAACCGCUGUGUUGUCACCGAGAAUUUCUCCACUCAACUCUGCAGCUAGCUUCCCCACUUUUCUUCAGAGGCAUCAGACAGCAAUGGAGACACAGACGCUCUUUUGCACGACCUCCUCCCAUCUGCUGUCACGAAGGCCUUUUUUCCAGGCCUAGAGUCCAGACUUCUAUCAAAUGAGGAGGACACAGUGUAGACGUCCACACUAGACCACUACCUCGUCCUACUACUGAAUUUCACUUACCCUUCACCCCCUGCUGCAUCAGGGUCCAGGAACACCGUUACCGGGAUGCUUCCAGCCCAGAGGCCCUCGGUGGGUUGCGUGAUCUGUACGGCUGCGGAAACGGCACUGGCUCCUGAAGCUAUAGAAUAUUCCAGCUGAGGAAUCUAACCGUCUCUCCCCAGAGCUCAAAAGCCUUUCUUACUCUCCAUACAUGGACCAUGAAAGUGAUUUACAUGUACAAGUG